rnacentral:rRNA from 1 species
GAUGAACGCUGGCGGCGUGCUUAACACAUGCAAGUCGAACGGAAAGGCCCAAGCUUGCUUGGGUACUCGAGUGGCGAACGGGUGAGUAACACGUGGGUGAUCUGCCCUGCACUUCGGGAUAAGCCUGGGAAACUGGGUCUAAUACCGGAUAGGACGAUGGUUUGGAUGCCAUUGUGGAAAGUUUUUUCGGUGUGGGAUGAGCUCGCGGCCUAUCAGCUUGUUGGUGGGGUAAUGGCCUACCAAGGCGUCGACGGGUAGCCGGCCUGAGAGGGUGUACGGCCACAUUGGGACGGAGAUACGGCCCAGACUCCUACGGGAGGCAGCAGUGGGGAAUAUUGCACAAUGGGCGCAAGCCUGAGGCAGCGACGCCGCGUGGGGGAUGACGGCCUUCGGGUUGUAAACUCCUUUCGCUAGGGACGAAGCGUUUUUGUGACGGUACCUGGAGAAGAAGCACCGGCUAACUACGUG